GCAGCUGGGGGGCUCUCGCCGCUCUCCUCGGCCGGCUGCCGGGAGAAGGGGCUGCCGCCGCACCGUGCCUCCGAGCGGGCCCUUUGCCCACUCCCGGCCCUUCCGCUCUGAGCCCCCGGUCGCAGAGCGGGUCAGACCCGAGAUGGCGGGGGUGGCCCCGGUAGGUGCGAGGAGCGGCGGUGGGUAGCGGAACGGAGCCCUCCUCGCUCCCCGCGGCUCGCCUGGCGGCAGCGGGUGAGCGCCGCGCUGGGACCUGUUGCGGGCUGCGAUGGUUCGGCCGCGGCGUGGCUGAUCGCGGUGCUUCAGCCCGUGCGCUGCUGCUCGUUUACUCCGUCCGGCCCUUCCUGCUCCCCCGUCCAGAGCCCUGAACUGAGAAACGAAGAAACUGAGACGUGUUUUCUGCGGGCUUUUGAGACGGCGGAAGGGUUAAGUCGGGCAGGCCCUUGCGCCGGGUGUGUUGGUGCUCUUUGGCUCCUUGCCCAACCUUUCCUAGGAGCCGGGGUUGCGUCAGCGAGGGCAACACCGCGGUGUUCGGCAGUUUCGCUCUGCUGCCAUUCUCUGCGCACCGUGCUGGGGUCACUGAGGCAUUUCCCACGACAUGGUGAUUUUUUCCCCCCUCUCUAUGGUCUCCAGGAUUUCUUCUCGUGUGUGGUAAUUGUGUUCCUUUGCGGAUCUUUGGCCGUUAUCGUCUCAUCUCCUCCAGCCAAGGUGCUGGUAGGAGCCAAAUAGUUUGUAGAGGUUCUUCCUCCGUCCUGGCAUUGUUGCCUCAGGCACUCUUGGGAGCACUGGACUUCACACAACCGAAUGUGAUGCCUGGCCCCUCAUGUGUCAGUUGCCUUGGCCCUAAAAUGAGUACCUAAAGCCAGUUUUGCACCCCUGCCACAGCACAGGAAGCUCUGGCACCUAAAGCCUUUGGUUCUGGGGAUAUUUUCCUUCCUACACGGUAUCCAAAUAUUGCUGCAAAACAGCCCUUCUGUGCAUUACACAGUGAGGCCACGGAGCUUAGAGUAAGUGGUGCUGGCUGAGUGCCACACAGCACUGCCAAAGUGCCCAUGGGCUCCAGUCUCUGUGUUAAAAUUUGGAUCUGCUUCAGGAUGCUCUGGAGCGCAAGACCAUGGGGAAGGCGGGAGAUCCCUACUCCAGAGAAUGGAUUCACAGAGCUGCCAGAGCCCUAGCUCACGUUGCAGCCAUGUUGGCAAGUUUACGUGGGGUCAUGUCUACUCAACCCCCAUUCUUUUUAUGUAUAAGGAACAGGUUAUUGAAGUUUGCUUGAAAGAUUGAAGAUCAGUGGUGUGUUGUUCCUUUCCUGACCUUGUCAGAUGUUUAAAAGUUUUUGAGUGGAGACACUGAAAUGUCUGGCCAAUCUACAGGAUAAAAUUUUAAGAUCUUUUUAGACACCUAAAGAUGCAGGUUUCUAAACACCUUCACCAAUGUGGAUUCGUGCGACUGACACAGAGCUGCCUCAUAAACUUUUGCUGCCCUGAAGCUUCUAGCCAAGACUUGCAGACUGUGUCACCUCACUACUCACCCUCAGCUUCCUUCGAAGACGCCUCGAGAAGCCUGUGUGCCCGUGACAAAGUGAGGGAACCCAGCAAAUGCUGUUUGCCAGCCUGCCAGGGAACUGCUCACUGCAAUUCUCCCUGCUCCUGGCUGUCGUUGCCCAUGGGUGGCAGAACCAUCCGUCAGCCACUUACAACCACACAGAGACAGGACAAAGGCCCUGGCACCAGCCCCCGAGCUCUGUCUAGUGAGUGGACUGAUGAAAGAGCAGCAGCAUCUCUAGGGAUGGCCUGGGAACUGGCAACGUGAUGGUGAAAACCCUGGAUGGCUUCAAUCUGCUACAGACCAAAGGGACUGCAGGACAUGAGGAAAGAAUAUUCAACCUGCAGCUUCAUGGUAGUGGCCAUUUCCUUUUGAUCACCACGGGCAUGAUCCUGCAAGAUGCUGAGCAUUGGAACAUGAAUGCAGCAGGGCAUCUGCCACAUCCACACUUCCAAUUUAUGUGUCUCAGGACUCCUGAGCUGCUGAAGACACUUGCUGGUUGUGUUUUGCUCAGUGCUUAGCACCUCAUGAGGCUGAGCACUUCAAGUGAACCCCCAUGUGUGACAUGCUUCCCAAAUUUAGAUGCUAACAACAGCAGUAGUAUAUUGGUGUGGUUAUAGUGACUGAAGGGAAAAGACCAGUCUGGGCAUCCCACACUCCCACAGGGUGGAGCAAGGCUCUUCCCCCAGGACCCUUGGCUGCCCCUCUCAGAUUUAAGCAGUUGCAGGUUUUUCCAAAGCAGGAAUAGUCUGCAGCCUAUUCUAAUCCUUUCUGCUGUGCUGGAGCUGGCAGGACAAAGCUCCACAAAGCCUUCUCCGUCUGUUCCAGACCCUGGUGGGUUUGUGUUUAGCCAGGCUCAAGUGUUCACAUGCUGGGGAGCACAGCUUUCGGGGGGCCAGGAGCCUGCUGCCCU